GCGCCCUUAGCUCAGCUGGAUAGAGCACCUCCCUUCUAAGGAGGUGGUCGUAGGUUCGAAUCCUACAGGGCGUGCCA
rnacentral:tRNA from 2 species